rnacentral:rRNA from 1 species
GACGAACGCUGGCGGCGUGCCUAAUACAUGCAAGUCGAGCGAAGUUUUUCUGGUGCUUGCACUAGAAAAACUUAGCGGCGAACGGGUGAGUAACACGUAAAGAACCUGCCUCAUAGAGUGGGACAACUGUUGGAAACGAUAGCUAAUACCGGAUAACAGCAUUUCCUGCAUGGUUGAUGUUUAAAAGUUGGUUUUGCUAACACUAUGAGAUGGCUUUGCGGGGCAUUAGGUAGUUGGUGGGGUAAAGGCCUGCCAAGGCGCCGCUGCUUAGCCGACCUGAGAGAGUGAUCGCCCACACGGGGACGGGACCCGGCCCCGGACUCCUACGGGAGGCAGCAGUAGGGAAUCUUCCGCAAGGGGCGAAGUCCUGACGAGACAACGCCGCGUGAGUGAAAAAGGCUUUCGGUUCGUAAAGCUCUCUUGUUAGGGAAAAAUGACUUUGUACUAACAAUACGCAGUAGAGACGGUACCUAACCAGAAAGCCACGGCUAACUACGUG